rnacentral:lncRNA from 1 species
UCAAUCAAUCAAUCAAUCAAUCAAAUUUUAUUUAUAUAGCGCCAAUUCACAACAGUCGUCAUCUCAAGACGCUUUCCAAAGAACAAGAGCAGGUCGAGACCACGCUCAUUGUUUGAUGAUCAAGAACCAACCUAAGAUGGGUUUUGGCCCAUCUCAACUAACAUGAGUAGCAGUGGCAAGGAAAAACUUCCUUUUAACAGGCAGAAACCUUGGGCAGGACCAGACUCAUGCUAGACAGCCACCAUGCCGCUGCUGGGUUGGGGAGGAAUGUAGUGAGAAGAGGGGAGAGGGGGAGAGGACAGGGGGAGGGAGAGAGACAGCAAGAUAGGGGAAAGGCUAGAGAGAAUUAGUACGGAGAGGGAGGGGGAGGGAGAGAGAGUAGGGAACGAGGGUGAGAGAGAGACAGGAGGCAGCAGGAACAACAGCAACAACGACAACAGCUCAUGUAAUGGUGAAACAAAAAGACGUUCAGUUUACAGGUUUAGGAUAUGAGAAAUAAUGGACAAUGUUGAAUUAAUUGAGUGUGAUUACAGUUAGCAGGCUUAAUCGUAGUCAGUUCUAUUUUGUAUGUCAAUAAUGACAGUGAGGCUGAUGUUCAUGUCUGCAGUAACAGUAACAGUCCAGUGGAAUCAGAGAGAAGAAGGAGCUCAGGGCCGGGGGGGGGGGGGGGUCUCUGCAGCAACGGUCCAGAGAAGCCAAAGAGCCAAAGAGAUGGAGGAGCUCAGGGCCCAGGAUGGAUGCAGCUGGGGUCAGGCAGUUCCGCAGCAGACCGUUUGCAGCAUUAGUCCAGUGGCAGCUAAAAGACUCAGAGACACUCAGAGAGACAGAAAGCUGGUCAGUGACUUAUAUGGGACAUAAAGAUCUAAAGAGGAGAUAGAGACAGAUUCUAGCUCAGUGUGCCAGAUAGCCCCGGCAGUCUAGGCCUAUAGCAGCAUAACUAAGAGCUGGUUCAAAUCAGCCCUGACUAUAGGCUUUAUCAAAGAGGAACGUUUUAAGUCUACUCUUGAAAGUUGAGAGUGUGUCUGCCCCCCGAACCUCGAGCGGUAAAUGAUUCCAGAGGAGAGGUGCCUGGUAGCUGAAAGCUCUUCCUCCAACACUACUUUUAGAGACAUUUGGUACAACGAGCAGACCUGCAGACUGUGAGCGUAACGGUCUAGAUGGAAAGUACGGUAUAACUAGCUCGUCGAGAUAUGAUGGCGCCUGGCCAUUAAGCGCUUUAUAUGUCACAAGGAGGAUUUUAAACUCUGAAUAUCGGAAAUUUCUCAACCAUUCCCGUUAAAAAACAAUUUAAAAGCCGAUGUUUGUUAUAAAUAAUGCAGCCAUCUGAAAAAUACCCCAUCAGAAAGUUCAGCCAUGUGCCUUUUCACAGCAGGACACAGAAAAUCCACCACAGUUUAAUAAAUAGCCCAUUGUAACCUUGAGCAACUCUGCGAUAAAAAUUGUAGACGUAACAUAAUAAAAGGUAUUCUGGUCUCAUUUGAGAGCCCCUGCUCAGACUUCCAGAGACGGUGUAUAUUUAAAUUAAAAUUUGCUGGUGUGGGAGAUUGGGACACAAUGCAUAUUCAGAUGCUAAUUCUCUGCAUUUGUCUGUGAAGCAGUGGCCCAUUUAAUUUGACUUUGUGUAGGAUUGUCCUGAGUGCCAGCUCGGGCUGAGGGGACGGAAAUUAAAUGUUUAUGAGAUGAUGUGAGAGAAAUACAAAGGAGGAGACAAUGACUGAAAACUCAACAUUUAUUUUUCAGUCAGUAGGAGACUUGACUGCAGAGUAUUUGUGGCCUUAUUCUUUUUUUUUUCCUGGGUCCUUCUGACUCAGAUUACAGACGAGUUUAGGUCAGAGUUAGGGUGGCUUUCAUGCAGCGCUGGAAAGACCACCUUACCUUUUUUUUAAAAUUAUUUUUAAUCCAAGUAAAAAUAAGUAAAAAUGUUUGCACCUAAAUCCAGCGAGGUGCACAAAUUUGUUAUACAGUCAACAUCAAAGUUAAGUUUUCAACUGUGGUGUUGUAAAGAUAGGUCAUCUUUGUACAUGAUAUUCCAGGGUUUGGGUUAAACAAACCCUGGAAUCUGGUCACCCAGACGCCGCCAAGAUAUUGACACAUAAAGCAAAGGCAGAAAGUAAAAGGCAUAAAAAAGCAAAGGCGUAAAAUGCAGUGUAUCGUGGGCCAGUAUCAAAGCUGAUCCACUUUGCUCGAAAACAAACCAAGACCCUUGUUUUCAAGAGUUCAUAUGAGCUUUCAGACAACUUCAAAUGUACCCGGGGAAAAGGACCGGGCUUCGUCAGAGUAUGAAGUUUCAUACGGUGUUACUGACAUCUGUAACUGUGCACGAAGCCAGAACUAGAUUCUGUUCAGUUUCUAAAGGAUUCCUAGUUUAAUAAGGCUGGGACCAACUGGUUUGAUCUUUAGCAAAAUGUUUUAGUUUUAUUGCUAAAAAGGCCAAAAAGAAAAUAUUCAAAAAAGUCAAUUUAGGCCCAGGACCUCAGAACAGUGAGAGAAACAGGAUAAUAUUUAUGUACGUCAAAAAUAUUAUCAAACUCAAUCAAAUGUGGUAUAUUUGAACAGUUCUUUGCAGUCCUUGAAACCACAUGGAUGUUUUUAAUCUUGCUUUUAUACCUUACAUGUCACAUUUUGAACACUAGUGCAUUUUAUUUUAACAAAAAAAAAAAAAGGAAAAAUGUUUUUCUUCUCUUUUCUAUUGUACCCAGGUAACCUGCAAUUCAACCCAGAUAUAAAUAUUUCACCAUCAAACAUGCAUUACUCACACUGAGAGAUGUCAAAUGGUCUUUUCCAGUCUGUCAAACUUCAUGGAAUAAUUACAUUUUUAUAUAAAAGCAGGUUGAUGCCCUGUCUAAAACAGUCCCAGUUCAUGUGUAAGAUGUAGUGAUGUCGCUCAGGGAUGAGGCUUUCAAAUGGAGACCAACAACCAGGAGAAUGUAGCACAGUGAACAAUGAGAAAAAGGGAAAGUGAAGGUUACUCUGUCCUCUGUAUUCUUAGGUGAAAACCUUAAAGAACAAUCUUAAACACCGGUCCGAUUUGACCUCUGAGCCAGCUUGAGGACCCUCCUCUUUGUCUGUUGGAGAGGACUGAACAUGCGGGUUAGACUGAGCUUAAGGCUUUUCACCAAGAGUAAGAACAUUUGCAGUUUUAAAAACGUAUAUUUAUCUUUAUAAAUGAAAAGAAAUACUCUCCAAACAUGGACAAUUGGCCUGUUGGCAUUCGGGCAUGCCAUUUGCUGAAUAUUUUGAAAUCCUAACAUUUGCUUUAGCAAUAAAAAACACACUUUUGUUGGACCAUGAAAAUGUUUCAAUUUCUAAAUAAAUGAAAUGUCGAGAGUCUAUAAAAUGAAAGAAAAAGAGAAUCAGAGCAGCUUUUGAAUACCAGUGUUCAAACAAAUCAAGAAUAAUGAAACAUAUUUGAAAAGAAAUAGACACUGAAGGAUCACCUGAAUAUUCUCGUAUGGUUAUAACUGAGUAUUUCUCUCUGAGCAGCAGCUCCUCGUGCAACGUUAACUCCAAACUUCAUCCUCCACAUGGUUUAGACACUGUAAUUAUAUCUGUAUGGAAACUGCACAUUAAGCACGUAGAAUCAUGUGUAGCCCUUGUUUGUGUGCUGUUCUGGGAACAUUCGCGCACCUGUGUGUGUCGUCCUGCACCGUGGUGGUGCUCGCUGAUAAAUCGGCCUCCAGAUGUGUGUGAAGUCUAUCUCUGGCAGUGAGGAAUAUUGGCUCUCCCUGAUACUUCAUCAUGGAAAGGCAGCUCUGACAGAAACCCUGACACAGAAACCUCUCGGAGAAGGGAAGUGGGGACAGCUUGGGCAUAAUUAGAAUUAAUGCCGAGAUGUGGAAUAAGGAAAUGAGCCAUCACAAUACAGAUCAGCUCUUCAUUUCAAUUUUAUGCUUGACUCGUUGAAUUUCAUGGGUAAUAAUGGAUAGGCAAGGUUGCCGAUCACUUUAGCUUGUGAUGACAGAUAUAUAUGCAGUGUUUCUUUAUGCUCCUGUAGGCAGAAGUAUGAGCGGGGGAUGAUAUAGGGAGGAAUAAUGACAAUAGACAUGGGCGUAGAACCAGGAGAGAGAGAGCUAUUUCUAUUCUGUUAGAUUCAUUUUUUGUAGGAUAUCGGCCAAAGACUCACCUCUGCUGCAAACAAUUAUCUUUAUGAUCAAAAGAGUCCUGUCCAAAGUGACCGUGACAAACUGCUGUGGAGUUUAUCACAAUCUCCUGUUACAGCCACACGGUAGUCCGUAUGAAUCUUCCACUGUCAGCCUGCGAUGGUCUGUCCACACCUUUAUCGCCAACGGCAGCCAACCAGCAAAUCUCCCCAUCUCCUCUGAUAAAAGCCGGAUCCUUUUAGUAAUGACAUUUGACUACAGCUCAAAAUAGAUCUUACAGAUGGAGCAUUUAAAACCACCUUAUUAAACGGAAUCACAAACUCAUGGCAGGUAUUACGUGAGGAAGUCGUGGUCAGUAAAGUUACAUAUGGGGUGAAGCCUCCAGGGUUGUCCUCAUGCAUACAUGUUAAAGUCAAGAACAUGUUUUGUGUCAUUGAGGGUUUAGAGCCGGCAAAGAUUGCGGGACUGCAAUCAAACGAUCAUAGGUUUGUGCGGUUUUGUAAUCAGGUAAGAGCAGUAAUUGCACGGUUACAGCUGGUGCAAACAGUAACAGAAUUAAAGCUCCUGUGAGGAACUUUGGGUAAAUAUGAAAUUUGGCGCCCCCUAUAGACAAAGCAGUCUUUGAUUAUUGUCUAAAAUUGAAUUGCCUGAAAAAGAAACACACCCUGUAGACUUUUGAUGAUGAAAUAUAAUUUAAUGUCAAUAUUUUUUGAGGGAAAUAGUAAGCACAGCUGCACUGCAACCCUACCUCCUUACUCUACGAUUAGGAAAAGAAAAGAAAGAAAAAUCAAAGAAAGAAAGAAAGAAAGAAAGAUAAAAAGGAAGAAAAAAGGAAAAAAGGGAGAGAGAGAAAGAAAGAAAAAAUAAAAGAAAGAAAAGGAGAGAAAAAAGAGAAAAAAGAAUGACAAAAAUAAGAAAAAAAGGGAAAAAAGUGAAAGAAAGAGAAGACAGAAUUAAAGAAAGAAAGAGAAAAAGAGAGAAAGACAUAAAAAAGAAAGAACAAAACAGAAAGAAAGAAAAAGAAAAAAGACAAAGAAAGAAAGAAAGAAUAAAAGAAAGAAAGAAAAAAACAGAAAGAAAGUAAAGAGAAAAAAGAAAGAAAGAAAGAAAGAAAGAGAGAAAUAGAAAAAAGAAAGAACUUUAUUGAUCUCUAGAGGGAAAUUCAAUCUUCCACAUUACAAUACAAGAAUCAUCAGUCUUGUCAUUGACGGUCCAGUUUGCCUCAGAGUCAUUAAAAAAUGCAGCUUCUUUGAUUUCAGUGCAUUUCAUGAAGUAAAAAAAAACGUAUUUCUGUGGCUUUAAGUAACAAUGCAGAACAAAAAAAUAUAUCAAAAUAAUAGACACCACAGAAAAAUGUGUCAAAGGCCAGAGUAAUUCCAUGAAUAGACAAAAAAACAUAAGGAUGUGAAUGGUCAGAGUUAGAGUGGGUGCUGGUGGUUAAAGGUUACACCUACUGUGAGUGUGGGCGGGAGUGGGUGGCAAUGGUCAGAAAUCCAACAAAAGCUGCAUUUACAGUUUUACUUUAAUAAGGGGGCAAAGGAUCUAACUGAGGUCAGGAACAAUUGGAGCCCUUGUGGCAAUUUCAGUUUAAACCAGUCAUUAAACAUCCAAACUACCUUCACUUUAACUUGGAGUUAAUAACACAGACUCUAGAUCUAAAACUAAGGCUCAGAAAUACUUUAUCUGGGGCAGAUGGGAACGGUAGUGAAGCCAGGAAGGCCAACUCCAGUGUUUACCGAUACCUGCUGUAAUUACAUGUGGAAAUUAAGCCCUCUCUGAAAAGUCCAACUUUAAUACCAACAAGAUCAUCGUGCACGUAAAGUGGUGAUGUUUUUUCCCACAUUUAGCAGGACCCUGGUGACACGGGGGAAGAAAAAGGUAUGUCAAGAGGGAGCUACAGAGGAGAACUCCCGUUCAGUCUCCUUCACCCCACAUCAUUAAGAGUCUUCCUACCUGAGUGAAAGGAAAUUCUUUAAAACACAAAAGGAGUCAGCCUCAUUUCUCUGAGAUUUCCCUGAAGGUAAUGAGGCUCAGUAAUUCUACAACCACACAGCAGCUUGAUCAACCGUAAGAGAGGAGAGACAGCACCGUGUCUAUCGCCUCUGUGAGUGUUUAUUGAACCUCUUGUUAGUGCACUUGCUGUACUUUGUUUGGACGUAAACAAAUUAGCUUUGUUGUGAGACUACACUCAUAGUUGUUUAUAUGCCACCAAGCCAGCUCUCACUGUGUAUGUACGGGGUUAUGUUGCUUCAGAAGCAAAACCUAAAAGGCGGGAGUCACGGGUUGAAAAAACUAACAAAAGGCUGGUGUCCCAAAAGAGUCAAACUAAAAAAAAAGGGGGCCCUUAAAGGUGGCUGUGGGAAUAAUAAUCCCUACAGGCACCCGCUGAUUCUAUCAAAAUGAUAGAGGAACAAAAGGACUGGACUCAAAACAAAGGAAAAGUGGGACUCGCUAGACUGAGUGGACACGAAAUUACUGGGAACAGACGCUGGCCAAAAGAAGAAAACUUGUUCCAACAAACACUCAUCUCUGGUUUUUCCCUCAAACAGCCACCACAGAAAGCCCGCUGACAUUGUUGACUCUCUGGAGACAAAAACAAACUGAACAGGGACACCCCCUCUACCCCUCCUCUGAAG